AGCUGUAAGGGUUCCAGAAGAAACAGCUCUUUGGGGGUGUCUACACCAUGGCCUGGACUUUUCUCCUCACCCUCCUGACUCACUGCACAGGUCA
rnacentral:pre_miRNA from 1 species